GACGAACGCUGGCGGCGUGCUUAACACAUGCAAGUCGAACGAUGAACUUGGAGCUUGCUCUGGGGGAUUAGUGCGAACGGGUGAGUAACACGUGAGUAACCUGCCCUGGACUCUGGGAUAACUUCGAGAAAUCGGAGCUAAUACCGGAUAGGACCUUGCACCGCCUGGUGUGGGGUGGAAAGUUUUUCGGUUUGGGAUGGACUCGCGGCCUAUCAGCUUGUUGGUGAGGUAAUGGCUCACCAAGGCGUCGACGGGUAGCCGGCCUGAGAGGGUGACCGGCCACACGGGGACUGAGACACGGCCCAGACUCCUAAGGGGGGCAGCAGUGGGGAAUAUUGCACAAUGGGCGCAAGCCUGAUGCAGCAACGCCGCGUGCGGGAUGACGGCCUUCGGGUUGUAAACCGCUUUUAGUAGGGAAGAAGCCUUCGGGUGACGGUACCUGCAGAAAAAGGACCGGCUAACUACGUGCCAGCAGCCGCCGUAAGAC
rnacentral:rRNA from 1 species